rnacentral:rRNA from 1 species
AACGAACGCUGGCGGCAUGCCUAACACAUGCAAGUCGAACGAGACCUUCGGGUCUAGUGGCGCACGGGUGCGUGACGCGUGGGAACCUGCCCUUAGGUUCGGAAUAACUCCCUGAAAGGGGUGCUAAUACCGGAUAAUGUCUUCGGACCAAGGAUUUAUCGCCUUUGGAUGGGCCCGGGUUGGAUUAGCUAGUUGGUAGGGUAAAAGCCUACCAAGGCGAGGAUCCAUAGCUGGUCUGAGAGGAUGAUCAGCCACACUGGGACUGAGACACGGCCCAGACUCCUACGGGAGGCAGCAGUGGGGAAUAUUGGACAAUGGGCGAAAGCCUGAUCCAGCAAUGCCGCGUGAGUGAUGAAGGCCUUAGGGUUGUAAAGCUCUUUUACCCGGGAUGGUAAUGACAGUACCGGGAGAAUAAGCUCCGGCUAACUCCGU